AGGACGAACGCUGGCGGCGUGCCUAACACAUGCAAGUGGAGCGACGAACCAGGCUUCGGCCUGGGGCAAAGCCGCGAACGGGUGAGUAACACGUGGGUAACCUGCCCCGAUGAUUGGGACAACCCGAGGAAACUCGGGCUAAUACCGAAUGUGCCCUCCGACCAUAAGGUCGCUGGGGAAAGGAAGCUUCGGCCUUCGCAUCGGGAUGGGCCCGCGGCCCAUUAGCUUGUUGGUGAGGUAACGGCUCACCAAGGCGACGAUGGGUAGCUGGUCUGAGAGGACGAUCAGCCACACUGGGACUGAGACACGGUCCAGACUCCUACGGGAGGCAGCAGUGGGGAAUCUUGCACAAUGGACGAAAGUCUGAUGCAGCAACGCCGCGUGGGGAUGAAGCUUUUCGGAGUGUAACCCCUUUCGACCCGGAAGAAAGCCCGCAAGGGUUUGACGGUACGGUAUAAGAAGCCCCGGCUAACUACGUGCCAGCAGCCGC
rnacentral:rRNA from 1 species